rnacentral:rRNA from 1 species
GAUGAACGCUGGCGGCGUGCCUAAUACAUGCAAGUCGAGCGAACGGACGAGAAGCUUGCUUCUCUGAUGUUAGCGGCGGACGAGUGAGUAACACGUGGAUAACCUACCUAUAAGACUGGGAUAACUUCGGGAAACCGGAGCUAAUACCGGAUAAUAUUUUGAACCGCAUGGUUCAAAAGUGAAAGACGGUCUUGCUGUCACUUAUAGAUGGAUCCGCGCUGCAUUAGCUAGUUGGUAAGGUAACGGCUUACCAAGGCAACGAUGCAUAGCCGACCUGAGAGGGUGAUCGGCCACACUGGAACUGAGACACGGUCCAGACUCCUACGGGAGGCAGCAGUAGGGAAUCUUCCGCAAUGGGCGAAAGCCUGACGGAGCAACGCCGCGUGAGUGAUGAAGGUCUUCGGAUCGUAAAACUCUGUUAUUAGGGAAGAACAUAUGUGUAAGUAACUGUGCACAUCUUGACGGUACCUAAUCAGGAAGCCACGGCUAACUACGUG